rnacentral:rRNA from 1 species
CCUACGGGUGGCAGCAGUGAGGAAUAUUGGUCAAUGGACGAGAGUCUGAACCAGCCAAGUAGCGUGAAGGAUGACUGCCCUAUGGGUUGUAAACUUCUUUUAUAUGGGAAUAAAAUGUUCCACGUGUGGGCUUAUGUAUUUACCAUAUGAAUAAGGAUCGGCUAACUCCGUGCCAGCAGCGGCGGCAAUACGGAGGGUCCGAGCGUUAUCCGGAUUUAUUGGGUUAAAGGGGACGGAAGCGGGAUAGUUAAGUCAGUGGGGAAGGUUUGGGGUUAAACCGUAAAAUGGAGGUUAAACUGGCAGUCUUGAGUACAGUAGAGGUGGGCGGAAUUCGUGGUGUAGCGGUGAAAUGCUUAGAUAUCACGAAGAACUCCGAUUGCGAAGGCAGUUCACUGGACUGCAACUGACACUGAGGCUCGAAAGUGUGGGUAUCAAACAGGAUUAGAUACCCCAGUAGUC